AGAAUCAACGCUGGCGGCGUGCCUAACACAUGCAAGUCGAACGAGAAGGUGGAGCAAUCCAUGAGUAAAGUGGCGACCGGGUGAGUAACACGUGACUAACCUACCUUCGAGUGGGGGAUAACCUCGGGAAAACCGAGGCUAAUACCGCAUAACAUCGCAAGAUCAAAGCAGCAAUGCGCUGGAAGAGGGGGUCGCGGCUGAUUAGCUAGUUGGCGGGGUAACGGCCCACCAAGGCGAAGAUCGGUAGCCGGCCUGAGAGGGCGCGACGGCCACACCUGGAACUGAAACACGGUCCAGACUCCUACGGGAGGCAGCAGUGGGGAAUUUUGCGCAAUGGGGGAAACCCUGACGCAGCAACGCCGCGUGGAGGAUGAAGCCCUUGGGGCGUAAACUCCUUUCGACCAAGACGAUAAUGACGGUACUGGUGGAAGAAGCACCGGCUAACUCUGUGCCAGCAGCCGC
rnacentral:rRNA from 1 species